GGAUCAAUGGAACGGUCAUGCCGUUGGUAUGUACUGAUCUUAUUGGUUCUCACCUUCUAAAGAACCAUAAUGCCAUUAAUUUGGUGUUAUGGGGAAUUAGGACUGUUACCUUGAAAAAAUUAGAGUGUUUAAAGCAGGCUUACGCUUGAAUACAUUAGCAUGGAAUAACGAAAUAGGACAUCGCAUUCUAUUUUGUUGGUUUCUAGGAUCGAUGUA
rnacentral:rRNA from 1 species